AGGCUUUCUAGAUUUGCCUUCCUUUGAUAUCUUUUAAUUAUGAGUUGAGUUACAUUUGUGAAUAUUCAUGGCUUUGUCUUUGGUGCGGAGCAGGCUGCCUAGAAUGCCAGACCUGCAGAAUUUUAUUCUCCGAGUUACUCUUACCUACUGCCUGCCUUGUUUCAGGUGAGGAGGCUGUACAUGCUGGCUCAUUCAUGGCCAUGAAGGCAGCAUAGGAAUGGCUUUUUGUGUCCCAUAGGAAGACUUCAUUAAUACAGUUUUCUUGUGCCUGCGUGUACCGAUUCAUCUGUCUUAGACUAAACACUCCAGGAUGCAGCAUCUGUCCUUUCUGUUUAUUAUUGGCCUGCAGAACACAGUGAGUGCUUGGAUAAUGUUUGCUCAAAGUGUCACAAACAAUUAGAGGGAUUAUUAAUACUUCUUCAUUACUACCGAGAUGUUCUACAGAACAAUGGCCGAAGACCCUUACCUGUGUGAUUCAUUAUCUGAUGGGGAGCUCGGUGUUGGGUGGCAACAAAUAGCUCACACUGCUGUGACACAGUACCAUAGACGGGGUGGCUUGAACAGUGGACAUUUAUUUCUCACUGUUCUGGAGUGUGGGAGUCUAAGAUCAAGUGCUGACAGGUUGGU